GACGAACGCUGGCGGCGUGCCUAAUACAUGCAAGUCGAACGCAGUGGGGACGGGUGAGUAACACGUGGGUAACCUCCCAUCAGAGGGGAUAACCCUUGGAAACAGGUGCUAAACCGAUACUGAUGGAUGGACCCGCGGUGCAUUAGCUCUUUGGUGAGGUAACGGCUCACCAAGGCCACGAUGCAUAGCCGACCGGGGAGUGGGAUAGGCCACACUGGAACGGAGACACGGCCCAGACCCCUACGGGCGGCAGCAGGAGGGAAUCUUCGGAAAAUGCAGAAAGGCUGACCGAGCAACGCCGCGUGAGUGAAGAAGGUUUCCGGAUGGUAAAACUCUGUUGUUAGUGAAGCGGUAGCUAACCAGAAAGCCACGGCUAACUACGUGCCAGCAGCCGCCGUAAUUUC
rnacentral:rRNA from 1 species